rnacentral:snRNA from 1 species
UCACUUCUGAAAGGUUUUGCUCAUCACUCAGCAUUUCCGUGGUCCUUUCAUAGCCUAGGUUAGUGACCUUAUAAAUUGCACUCAGGAGGGGCCCUCACCUAAGGUCUACCCAACUGGUGAGGCCUACAUCAUAAUUUGUGACAGGGGAUUUGCAUUCGCGCAGUCCCCGC